rnacentral:rRNA from 1 species
UACGUAGGGGGCAAGCGUUGUCCGGAUUUAUUGGGCGUAAAGAGCGUGUAGGCGGCCAGGUAGGUCAGCUGUGAAAACUCGAGGCUCAACCUCGAGACGUCGGUUGAAACCACCUGGCUAGAGUCCGGAAGAGGCGAGUAGAAUUCCUGGUGUAGCGGUGGAAUGCGCAGAUAUCAGGAGGAAUACCCAUAGCGAAGGCAGCUCGCUGGGACGUUACUGACGCUGAGGCGCGAAAGCGUGGGGAGCGAACAGG